rnacentral:piRNA from 1 species
UGUCAAACCCUCACUUCACCAGAAAGC